CCUACGGGAGGCAGCAGUGAGGAAUAUUGGUCAAUGGACGGAAGUCUGAACCAGCCAAGUCGCGUGCAGGAUGACUGCCCUAUGGGUUGUAAACUUCUUUUGUAUGAGAAUAAAGCUGACUAUGUGUAUUCAUUUGUAUGUACCGUAUGAAUAAGGAUCGGCUAACUCCGUGCCAGCAGCCGCGGUAAUACGGAGGAUCCAAGCGUUAUCCGGAUUUAUUGGGUUUAAAGGGUGCGUAGGCGGAAUGUUAAGUCAGGGGUGAAAUGUUCGGGCUUAACCGUGGAACUGCCUUUGAUACUGGUGAUCUUGAGUGUAGAAGAGGUAGGCGGAAUGCGUGGUGUAGCGGUGAAAUGCUUAGAGAUCAUGCAGAACACCGAUUGCGAAGGCAGCUUACCGGUCUCUAACUGACGUUGAGGCACGAAAGCGUGGGUAGCAAACAGGAUUAGAUACCCGAGUAGUC
rnacentral:rRNA from 1 species